CAUAGGGCAGCGCCAGGGUGGGAACACUGCUGGGAGGAAGUGCUAGACCGGCUGGUGGCUGGCCGGCAGAGAGGAGGAAGUUUAGGCCAUUCAGACCUGGAGAAGACAGAUCAGGAGAAAACGGUAAGAGAUUGCCAAACAUGUUAAACACCUGGGAACAAAUCCCAGCUGAACCAACAUUUGACUCCAGCCUGGGCGAUCUCUGACCUUCAGGCAUCUGGUUAGGCUUGUCUGGCGCCCUGUACAGCAUGACCACCGAGGGCUGGGACAGGCUGGGCAGCACUGUGUCGACUAUCAAUCUGGACUCACAGAAGUCACUUGCUGGAGCUCUUGCCAGGCCACCAUGACCCUUGACCUCUUUUCAAACUGAAAAUGUAAAUGUUAAAUAUUUUUUAUCAAGGAAUUGAAGCUUAUUCUGCUGUUGCCCUCCAUGGAAGCUGCUCUGAAAAUGGCAUUGGCUAAAUGCCUAGAAUGUAUAAAUGAGAUGUAGUCUUUCACUUUUUCUGCAGUCUCUGCUCAAGGCUCAAAGUUGAUGUGGUACAAAAAAGUGAGAUAUUUUAUGUGCACGACAGAGCAGAAAUAUUCAUAAAGGAGCCGGCACCUCUGGCAAUAAAUGUUAAUGCUUUCAUCUCAUGUUGUUGCUAUAGCAGAAUGUAUGUAUAUGAGCACUGCCGCUACAAUACAAUAUAUUCUGCAGAGGUUAACUGAAAAAUCCUAGAAUGACUUUUGAUGUUGAGAAUUGAAAAUAGUUGUUAAUAAUAAAUCUGGUUGAGUGGCUCUCUCUUUAAUGUGGCGUGGCUCUACCUGUGGCAGUCACCAGGCUGACUCUGUGCUGACUCCACAUCGGUUGUGCGGGUAUCAUACAUAAGACCUGAGGCAAAUUUCAUUAAA